AGUUUAUUCCAAGUUUUAAAAUACAUUCAGUAAACAUAUUGAGUAACUACUAUGUUUCACAUAGUCUUACAGGUUUUGAAAUGUGGUGAUGAACUUAACUGGUCAGCUCAUUUUCUUUGUUUUCUGAAUCAUAAAGUGGAGGUACAGUGAGAACAAGAUGCCUGGCACAGGACAGGCACUCAGUGACUGUUGGCUAUUAUAAUUAAUCUGCUAUGUUCACUUCAUCCAUGUUUUAAUUUUUCAACUCUUAAAUAUAAACAUGUGAUCUUCCACCCUGUGUAUUCUUCCCAAUACUUGAAGUUCUCUAGUAUUUUUGCUUAGUAAUAUUUCUUAUUUUACAUAGUGGGUGUACUCAGCAUGUUAUUUUUAUCUAAGAGUAAGUGUACUUCCUACAUCUAUUCUGCCCGCCCACUCAUAUUCACACAUGCUAAUGGUCUGGUCUGAUAAACACAUGGAUCAUUUGAGGUCCACAUCAUGCAAUUCAAUACUAAGUUCUGAAGUUUUCCUUUCAGUGUAAGCUGUAGUCAGUUUAUAACAUAUUGUAAAGUUGUUUGAAUGUAUUAGUACUAAAAAUUCUAAAAUUUAUUCACAUAACUUUUUGCACAAGUAUUGCUUAAAAUUAACUAGGGUUACCCAGUAAGUUAAAAUAACCAAUGAUAUUUUGGGGUUGUUUGUUUCGAAGAGUUUAUUAAAAAGACAUUAUAAUUUUAGUUUCCAAUUUUCCUGUUACAGCUUUAGAGAAGACUAGAACUAAGAUCAAGAUCAAUACCACAUAUGUUUUUAAGGACUGUACAUUACAUUUGAGCAAAUUUUGUCCAAUAACAAUAUAGUAAAUUAUUCUUAUUAUACAUUCAUGGUAGGGUUAAAAUAAAUAAUUGCAUAAAUAAUUUAACAGAUGUUUAUGAAACAUCUACUACGUACUAAGUUUGGGAACACAAAAAUCAAUAAAAAACAGUCCCCACAUUAAGAAGUUCAUGGUUUAAAGAGGUAGAGAAACAAAUAAGAUAGACAAUUUAAUACAGGACGACGGCUUUGCAGGGGAAUGCUCAAAGUACUACAGAAACCUUACCAGGGUCACUUAAUCCAGAUUAUUAAGGAUGGUUUCCAGGCCAUAAUGAAGAAGUUUUAUAAAAUAUUUUGAAAGAAAGGAAUUAGUGGUGGAUAAGAACAGCACAGGGAUAUCAAACAUGCUAUGGAAAGGCAGGGAAGUGAGAUACUUUUCAUGUUCACACAACUACAAAUAGUUUGGUGUGGCAGAGCUGAAAGUUUCAAUGAGGGACAGCUAUGAGAGGAAAGGCUAGAGAUACAGGACGAACUGCAUCAUUAAAUGCCUCACAGGCUUUGCUAGGGAUAAGCUUUCUACCUAACUGCAAUGAGGAGUUUAGGUCAGGGGUUGAUGGUUGAUAGUUAUUGUAAAAAUCCAAACUUCAAAUAAAAAUCAGAAUUAUGUAAUGAAGUAGAGAAAAAGAGAAGAGUCUUACUACUUAGACAUGUGAAUAAUAAAAUCAGCAAGAAUUGACUCUAUAGAGAAUGACAGGGAAAAGGAAUAAACAGUGACUGUCUUGGGGUAGUGGCAAAUCUAGAGUCUGUAGGAAGAACCGGCUCUGUGAGAUGAUGAGUCCUGAUCCAAGAGUUUGUGAUUUAGUUAGACAGACUGUGGCAUAUGUGUUUAGGAAGAUCUGAUCUUGAGACACAGAUGGGAUGUCAUCAGCACCAGCAAUGGUGACUGACACGGGAGGAGUAGCUGGGAUCACCCAGGAUGUCCAAAACAUAUAGAGGACCAUGGCCUGAACCUUGAGGAUCAUCAACUUUAAAGAUCAGAAGAGGAAAAGUGAGAAGGAACGGAGAAGACUGGUUACACUAGGAAAGGAAAAAUCCAAGAGACUAUAAUCCCUAAGAGACUAUAAACCUAAGAGGAACGUUUCAAGAAGUGAAUGCUUAUGUGCAAUACGUUAGCAACUAAAAUAUAGCCAAUGAAUGUAGUAAUUCUCUUGUUACUUGGAUAACAAGUUUAAAUCACAUGAGUGAGGCAGAAUUACAGUGGCUUAAGAAGUGAAUGAGUGAUGAGGCAAGGAACCCUUUCUAUGUGGACAUAUAAUUAUCAGCUAUAAGGAUAAAAACUAAGAUACUAAUGUAAGUUAUGGAUAAUAAACACUUGAAAUAUAGGAAAAGGAAAUCACAAAUGCUGGGCUUGUAAUAAAAAUGCCAAAACUGAAUUUUAGUUUGGGUGAGCAGACCUGGAAACUCUGCAAGAAAGAUCUUGACUACAAGUAGGCCUCUCCCUGCAACUAUAAAAUUCUUCUGUUGACUCCAUAUUUUCUUACUAGGUUCUGCUUUCUCUAUGUGAUGGAAAACAGUUUUAUCACCAAAGAGGAGAAGGCUUCUCUCUUGUAGUUCAUGGAGGAGGCUGGUUUAGGUCAUAUUCUCGGCCCUGAACCAAACACAGAAAUCGGGGGAUACUGUAAAUAACCAGCCUGAGGAACACUGAGCAAGGCGGUUCCCCUUGGCUAGGGUGAUCUCCAUUAACACAAGAGAUUGUACAAAGAUAAGCCACAUCCACUACAAAUAGUAGCUACGAACACCGUACACCUUGUCAACAUGCACAGAAGGAAGAAUGCUAUUGGACCUAAAAAUUACACUCUGGUUAGCAGAAGGGACUAAGAACAUGACGCAGAAAGAGAUGGGCCAGCCAUCUUUAACACCUGAAUGGUAAUCAUAGAGAAGGCCAGGACAAGUUCAGUUGUAGAGGGCAGAACCAAGCAACCGUUACAGAAAGGUUAUAUUCAGUUCAAUGAGGAGGAAU